AUACAGCCGAAGCAGAGCCCCAAGUCCCAUGGGGACGUCCUCGAGGGCGUGGAUGUUCUCCCCAUCAAAGGCCAGCGGGAUUUCACUCUCAUGGUGAAAUGGAUUUCCACCGAUGUGCAGUAAAGGAGUGAAGAGCGGUGAAAUCUGUGUCAACAAAACCUUCCUCUCCUCUGAAGACCCAGUGAGGGUGGAGCUCAGUCAGAGAGCUGUUGAGGGACUGGUUAGGAAGAACACUUCUACAGCCAGAGAGGGGCAGUCAAGAAAUGGAACGGCAAGGCCACAGAACAUGACAUAAGCAGAGCUGUGGGAGACCACCUCAAGCCCCUGGUAGAGCCGGGGGUGGUGUUCACCACUCCACCACACCUUCAGCAGGCUGGAAAAGUGGGAUUGAUCUGUUUGAUCCAUUUGUCUGUUUCAGUUUUCAGUAGUUUGAUCCUUUGAUGUAUUGUUCAUUUAAACAUUUUUGAUUUUCAACAAAUGCACUGGGUUGGUUGAAAAGUGAUACUAAACUUACAUACCAUGCACUGAAUUGAUACUGUUUUUCAUACGUAGAUGGACCAUGCGCUAUAAUGACAAGGUAGAAGAUAAAUUCAGUCUAAGAUGGACCAAAAUAUGCCUUUGCACAAACAGAAACUUAACUGAAAGACUGAGCAUUUUAAGGAAAUGUCAUUGAUUCAAAUAUUAACAAUUUGAUGCAACAUCCAAUACAAAUUAUAAACUUGUUUUACUCCAUUGUUUGUUGUUAUGUUCUCCAUCAAGAAACCCCCCAAAAACUAAAUGUUACAUGAAUUGGAAAAAAAAGCAAAAGCAAAUGUGAUUGUUGAGGCAUGGAAUAAUACAACAUAUCUUUGUCAGGCUGAAUGUUUGAAAUAUGAGGUGAUUUGAGACAUGCUUCUUCAGUAGUGGAAUAAAGACAAUUAGCGCUUGAAUGUUGUCAAUAAAUACUGGAGUGAUGUUAGAUUGUUAAUAAUAUUGAUUAUAGGUGUAUAAGCUGCAAGUACAUUGAAAUUAAGUUAUGAAAAAAGACCUGAAAAUAUAUAUUUUAUAAACAAUACAAAACAUACAAACAUUAACAUCACACCUGAUCUUUUUGUUAAAUCACAUAAAUAGAACUCAUUCAAUUCAGAGCCUGGAUUCUUCCCCAGAGGCUAAUAUCCAUAUCAUGCUGAAAUCAAUUCAUCAAAUUGAACAGGGGGCAAACGUUUAGGGUUCUACAUUGUGAAAUUCAUUCAAAUACUCCUACUACAAUGUUACAACAUUCUACAUUGUGACAUCAUUAGAAUACUCCUACUACAAUGUUACAACAUUCUACAUUGUGAC